UGUGUGUGUGUGUGUGAGAGAGAGUAGGUCAGACAAUAGCCUACAGGCAUUGGUUUUUCUUCUUCCACUUUGUGGGUUCUGAGGAUUUAACACAGGUCAUGAGGCUUAGUGACAAGUGCCUUGAACCCCCAUUCAUUUUCAUUGGCUGGUAUUUUCUCUUCAGUUUCCAUGGGCAAACCAAAGUUCUCUACAUGGAAGUGCUAUCUCAUGCCAGUGUGCUCAAAUGUUUCCAGGGAUCCUGCUGGACAGUCACCUAAAAGUCUCCUUUUAGACAUGACAAAUGAAAAAGCAGGGACUGAGAUUCCUGCUGGAAAAAUGACAAGUACCAGAAGCUGGGUGGUGCCAAACUGUAGGAAUGGUGGCAAGGACUAUGUAUGGACUGUUUCUUAAGCUCAAAGAAGAGAGGUGAAAAUAGAUACUAUUCUGGGUUUGAUGGAAGCUUUCGGCGAUACAUAUGAUUUGCGCAUCUCUCAGCGGAAGAGACUGAGACACACAUGACCAAGGCCUCCUGUCAAUUUUCCCGAGUGUGGGAAGGGAAUCCAUCAUGGAUAAAGUAGACUGAGAACACCUUAAAGGCAGGAAGGGACACCUUUCCAACAUACUUAGCAUGGCGGCUAGCACACUGUAGCAAUCUAACAACUGUUUAUUGAAUAACUUGGCCAUAUGGCAAUAAAGCAUCGAUCAU